CCCCUACGGGGGGCAGCAGUAGGGAAUCUUCCACAAUGGACGAAAGUCUGAUGGCGCAACGCCGCGUUAGUGAAGAAGGGUUUCGGCUCGUAAAGCUCUGUUGGUAGUGAAGAAAGAUAGAGGUAGUAACUGGCCUUUAUUUGACGGUAAUUACUUAGAAAGUCACGGCUAACUACGUGCCAGCAGCCGCGGUAAUACGUAGGUGGCAAGCGUUGUCCGGAUUUAUUGGGCGUAAAGCGAGUGCAGGCGCUUCAAUAAGUCUGAUGUGAAAGCCUUCGGCUCAACCGGAGAAUUGCAUCAGAAAC
rnacentral:rRNA from 1 species